ensembl:lincRNA Gm30932 predicted gene, 30932
AGGGAUGACCUUACAGACAAGAUGCAGGGCUGGGACCAUUACAGGCGCAGACCUUCAGAACAACAGAAACCACCCCGGGCAGCUUGAAGAGGUGGCUAUUUCCUUCCCCCGGAGAUGCUGCUCCUGACCCAGAAGGCAGUGACACCCCAGAGGACUUCACAGAUGCGCCCACGCAAACUCACAGAACACAGGGAUGGAGAAAGCCUGGUGCCAGUUCUCAUGGCUCUAAAAAGGACCUGACAAAGGCACAUGGGAAAAAUGGCUUUAUUCUGGC